rnacentral:rRNA from 1 species
CGUAUAUUAAAGUUGUUGCAGUUAAAAAGCUCGUAGUUGGAUUUGUGGUGUUUGGCUGAGUCCCAGCAUUGUCUGGGUGCUCGUGUCGAAUACCAUCCUUGGGUGGAAGCAGCGUGGCAUUAGGUUGUCGUGCUGUGGAUGCCCAUCGUUUACUGUGAAAAAAUCAGCGCGUUCAAAGCAGGCUUAUGCCGUUGAAUGUAUUAGCAUGGAAUAAUAAGAUAGGACCUUGGUACUAUUUUGUUGGUUUGCGCACCGAGGUAAUGAUUAAUAGGGACAGUUGGGGG